GGGGUUUACAAGGAGGUGAGGAAGGUAGCUGUUUCUGAAUUGGUCCCCCUGCAGACACAAUGGAGAUGCCACCUGAGCUCUACAGAAGAACCUUGUGUUUCAGUAAGCUCACAAGUGAGAACAUGAAAGAGAUUGUCCAGAGGUUCUAACAAGUCAUCUGUAUGCUGAUGAUCGGCUCUGUGUUUCUUUGAACAAGCCACCAGAGACAGUGCUGGACCAGUGUGUGGAGACUGUGAUUGCCUGAGGGACAACAAAGCCCAGAGAAGCCCGAUCUCAUCAGAUCUCCGAAGCUAAGCCAGAGUUGACCUUGGAUAGUAAUUGGAUGGCAUACCUCCAAAGAAGUCCAGGAUUGCAGAGGCAGACAGUGGCAAACCACCUCUGUUAGCCUCUUUCAUUGAAAACCCCAGCAAGGAUCACUGUAUGUCAGCUAUGACUUGAUGGCAUUUUCUACUGCCAUUUAUUUUAAGACCUGGUUCUAUGUCGUUUUAAUGAUGUGCUUGCGUGCUGGUUUUAAUGAUUUUUAAGAUAUUUUAAUCUGUAUGUUUUAAUUUGUUAGCAGGCUUGGUGGCCUUACUGGAGCAGCAAGGUGGGGUAAAAAUCUUGUUCAACAACAACAACAACAACAACAACAACAACAACAACAACAACAACAACAACUGCUACUACUACUACUACUACUACUACUACUACUACUGAUCUGCUAAGAAUCUUAUACAACUUAACUGAUUUGUGAAUAAGCGUUUUGGCUGGGUUGUACCCCUGGUUUCUGUUGGCCAAACAAAAGGAGGAACUUUAAAAUGCCACACUGUUGAGUCUGCAGGUUCCAUCCUUUUCUCUGCUGCUGCAGGACUGAAACUCAAGAAGGAAGAUCUUGUGGAAAACAGAAGUUGCACUGCAUAAGGAAGUGCAGCUGAUGCCCCCACUUCUAUUAAUCUCCAACGUCCUAUCAAAUACUGUGGGAAAUCUUAUUUGAACAGCACCCAUUUAGAAGCUGAAGCAUAUUUAAAAUACUGGGGGGGAUUAAAAUAAAAUCCUCUUCACACACAAAAGAAGGGCCUUGGUGAAGAUAAACUACACCCACAACUUAACAGUGGAAAUGCUAUCUGUGCCUUUGUGGCCAGUUAGUUGCACUAAGAAUGGUCACAGUUCCUGAGAUCUCUUAUAAUUUCAGUUCAUGCAGCAGAUCUGGGGAGGAACACCAUAUAUUUGCUGCUGCUUUUGAAAGGUGGGUUGUCCUCAUACCUUUCCAACAUCUCUACAAACCAUGUAGAUGCAGUACUUGCUAUAAGCUCAGACUUUGACAUGGACAAAGAUCUUCUGAAUGGCAUUUGGGGACUUAAAUUGUCCUACAAGAUAUUAUAAAAGAAACGAUGCCAAAAAUGCAGCUUCAUUUUAAUUAUCUAAACACUAAAUAUCUAAAUCUAAAAACACUUUUAGGAUAUAGCUUCUAUAAAAUGAAUUCCAAGUUACACCACAUUUGCUGUACUUUGGGUACGUUUUCCACUACAAACAUGUUUGGUACUCUAUUGGAUGAUCAAGUUUUCCAUCUUAUACCAGUAACUCCCAAAAGGUAUUUUAUAUGAAACAACGGCAAAAUGAAUGUAACAUCUGUAUUCUAUUUGCUAAUGAGCAAUCAUCAUUUUUACCUCUCCAACCAGGGAUUUUGCUUCUUGGAAUACUAAUGCCACUACAAAAAAAAAAAAUCACUCCCCUCAUUAGCACCACAGUUAACUGAAUACCCAGAACACUCAUUCAUUAUUUGUAGUCCAGCUCUGCAUCUACAUUCACUGCUUUUUAUCAUUUUAAGAAAAUUGGAGUUGUCAAAGAAAAAAGGAUUUUACACUUAAGUACUAUAUAUAUUCAUACAGUUAUAACAUUUAUAUCAUAGCUCUCUUAGAAUGAGAUUUCAGCUUCACUAAGAAAUGGAUUUGGAAGCUUUAGGAUCUUUUUAAAGCCAUACAGUAAAUCAUUAUGAAAUUUACAUUAAAUAUUUUUUUUAAAAUUCAUAACACUUAGGAGACAAGGGGUGCUCAACAGAAUACAGAAAAAAUACAAAUCCUGCGGGCUUUUAAUUCAAAUUUUGCAUUUCCUCUCUGAUGUAUUUAGGGCAUUAGUCUGCCUAAGAACUUAUCAUUUCUUGGUUAGCCACAAGAAAAAAAAAUUGGUGAGGUAAGUCCCUCAAAUCCAAAGAAGUAUUUUAUAUAAAUGCACACAAUUUUAUUUUGAUAUGUUUGAUCUUUAUAAAUUAUAAACAUAUGGUUGGAACCUA